rnacentral:rRNA from 1 species
UACAGAGGGUGCGAGCGUUAAUCGGAAUUACUGGGCGUAAAGCGCGCGUAGGCGGCUUUUCAAGUCGAUUGUGAAAUCCCCCGGGCUCAACCUGGGAACUGCAGUCGAGACUGUCUAGCUAGAGUAUGGGAGAGGGAAGUGGAAUUUCAGGUGUAGCGGUGAAAUGCGUAGAUAUCUGAAGGAACAUCAGUGGCGAAAGCGACUUCCUGGACCAAUACUGACGCUCAUGUGCGAAAGCGUGGGGAGCAAACAGG